rnacentral:rRNA from 1 species
UUCGGGAGUGAGUACAGUGGCGAACGGGUGCGUAACACGUUGGUGACCUGCCUUGAGGAGGGGGACAACCGGGGGAGGACACGGCUAAUACCCCGGAUGUCUAAACUGUUAGAGGGUUUAGACUAAAACUUCGGUGCCUCAAGAGGGGCCUGCGGGCUAUCAGCUUGUUGGUGGGGUAAUGGCCUACCAAGGCUAAGACGGCUAGGGGGCGUGAGAGCGCGACCCCCCACAAUGGAACUGAGACACGGUCCAUACUCCUACGGGAGGCAGCAGUGAGGAAUAUUGCGCAAUGGGGGAAACCCUGACGCAGCAACGCCGCGUGAACGAUGAAGGCCUUCGGGUCGUAAAGUUCUUUUCUAAGGGAAGAUAGUGACGGUACCUUAGGAAUAAGUCCCGGCUAACUACGUGCCAGCAGCCGCGGUAAAACGUAGGGGGCGAGCGUUAUCCGGAUUUAUUGGGCGUAAAGCGCACGUAGGUGGCGCUGUAAGUUAGACGUGAAAGCUCUCGGGUCAACUGAGAGAGGUCGUUUAAAACUGCAGUGCUUGAGGUUAGAAGAGGAGGAGCAGAAUUCCCGGUGUAGUGGUGGACUGCGUAGCAUUCGGGAGGAAUACCAGUGGCGAAGCCGGCUCUUUAGUCUACACCUGACACUGAGGUGCGAAAGCGUGGGUAGCGAACGGGAUUAGAUACCCCGGUAGUCCACGCUGUAAACGAUGGAUACUAGGUGUAGGGGGUCAUUUAACCCCUCUGUGCCGAAGCAAACGCGUUAAGUAUCCCGCCUGGGGACUACGGCCGCAAGGUUAAAACUCAAAGGAAUUGACGGGGGCCCGCACAAGCAGCGGAGCGUGUGGUUUAAUUCGAUGAUACGCGAAGAACCUUACCUGGGCUGAACUACGUGGUAGUAGUGAAGCGAAAGCGGAUCGACCCUUCGGGGAGCCUCGAUAGGUGCUGCAUGGCUGUCGUCAGCUCGUGUCGUGAGAUGUUGGGUUAAGUCCCGCAACGAGCGCAACCCUCGUCGCUAGUUACAAGUGUCUAGCGAGACUGCCGGUAUCAAACCGCGAGGAAGGUGGGGAUGACGUCAAGUCAGCAUGGUCUUUAUGUCCAGGGCUACACACACGCUACAAUGGUCGGUACAAUAGGUUGCCACACCGCGAGGUGGAGCUAAUCCUCAAAGCCGAUCUCAGUUCGGAUUGUAGUCUGCAACUCGACUACAUGAAGGCGGAGUUGCUAGUAACCGCGCGUCAGCACAGUCCGGUGAAUGCGUUCCCGGGCAUUGUACACACCGCCCGUCACAUCAUGGGAGUCGGUAACACCUGAAG